rnacentral:rRNA from 1 species
CGGGACGGGUGAGUAACGCGUGGGUAACCUGCCUCAUACAGGGGGAUAACAGUUGGAAACGACUGCUAAUACCGCAUAAGCGCACAGGAUUGCAUGAUCCAGUGUGAAAAACUCCGGUGGUAUGAGAUGGACCCGCGUCUGAUUAGCCAGUUGGCGGGGUAACGGCCCACCAAAGCAACGAUCAGUAGCCGACCUGAGAGGGUGACCGGCCACAUUGGGACUGAGACACGGCCCAA